CUAAAUCCACUUCUAUUUCCUACAUCACUUCUGGAAGAUAUCUGCAUCCAUGUUUACUUUAACAUUUAAAAGUUGCCCAUGGUUCACAAGUGUGAGAUAAUAAAUAUCUGCAAUCUUAGUUGGCUGAGUAAAUUUCACAUGGACAUCCCCGAUGAUUGGAACUCUUAACGAGGAAUUUGGCAAAGCAUUUGAUAUGCCUGAUAAAGAAGUUGAAGAAUUUUCUUCUAAAGUUGAUCAUGCAUCAAGAUACGGUAAUUAAUAUUUUUUCAGAUAGAUGUUAUCUGAUCAUCCAGAUUGCCUUUGAAGGCGCACAAAAGCAUAGGUAAAUAGUUAAAUAUAUGUUUAGAGGUGCAAGCUACUUUCGCACUGCCUUUGCAUGUUCAUACUUGCUGAAGCAACAUUUGAGAAUUUCUCCCAAGUCUACAUGGGAUGUUUUCUUGUAAUUAUCGCAGACAUGUAACAAAGUCUCUAACACAACGAAAUAAUUCUUUAUCGGGCUUUCACCUAAUAGUCUUCUGUACAGAAACAUUUAUGUGGAAUUAGAUGACAAAGUAGUAAUUAAAAGAAUUGUUAGGUGUUCUUACAUAGCUUACUUGAGAGAAAAAAAACAUCCACGUAGCUUUGGAGCAUGAUACCCUCGAGUUGCUACAUUGUCCUUCAAAAAAAAUUAAGAAAAUGAAAAAUUAAGGAUUAGGAAGUGAAGUAACUAACAUUAACAAAGGGAUAGUUACAAAGAAAUAUGAAAAACUUAACAGAAAGUCAGAUUUACAGUCCAAAAAAUAGCUGAUAGAGCAUCAUUAAAUGACACACGGGGAAAGACAAAAAUUGCAAAUCCUUAACUUAUAAUCAGCAUUAGCAAUAACAAUUUUUCGCUUUAAAUGAUGGUAGAAUACAUUUCCUGUAUAAAAAUAAAAAGAACAACAAUAAUCCAGAUAAGUUCCUUACAUGUGCAUGAGAGGUAAAAUGUGGAUGGAGAGUUUAAAUGCCGCAGAAUCUAAUAAACCUGUGUGAACGUAUUUUAAGCCGUGAAGGAGCUGAUAUAGGAGAAAUUGAUAAUGUUCAGGUGUUAGAUCAUCAUUAACCAUAAUCACUUGAUGAUGGUCAGAUUCCAUAAAUUGAACACAGUAUGGCUUGUGUUCCAGCCUUGAGUUCCAGCUUCAUCUUCAGAUGAAGUACUAUAACCUAUGUUUUAGCUUCGUCUAGGGAUAAAGUACUAAAAUCUGUGUUCCAGCCUUGUGUUCUAGCUUCAUCUAGAGCCGGAGUAGUACGAAUAAACUUGAACUCAUAUGUUUUUAGAGGAAGAAAUGCAAAAACGGGCACUUGUUUUAGAUGUGGGAUAUAAUCUCCAUUUUUGUCUCCUACAGCAUAGAUGCUAUAGAAAUUUAUAUUCGCACAUCUGGUUUAAUGACAUCAGCCUGCAAUUGUUGUGAUACUGUUUCGCGUGGGUUAACUCGCUAACAAUUAAAGGGGAUCAGACGAUUGUGUAAGGGACGAAACCUCUUGAGACAAAGUCCCAAAAAGGGGUGUUCUUUUAUUGGCGAUGAACUUUACAAUUGGAA
rnacentral:lncRNA from 1 species